AGAAAUAAAAAUAGAAAAUCAAAAGAAACAAGAAUAAAAUAUGGUAUUUAUUGAGCCAUAGACUAGAUAUAUUUGUACCUGCGCUGUUCCUUUUGUUUUAUUUUAUUUCCUCUCUCUCUUUCUCUCUCCCUCUCCGUCUUUUUUUUC
rnacentral:RNase_P_RNA from 12 species